AUGGUAGGAUAGAGGCCUACCAUGGUUUUAACGGGUAACGGGGAAUUAGGGUUCGAUUCCGGAGAGGGAGCCUGAGAAACGGCUACCACAUCCAAGGAAGGCAGCAGGCGCGCAAAUUACCCAAUCCCGACACGGGGAGGUAGUGACAAUAAAUAACAAUAUGGGGCUCUUACGAGUCUUGUAAUUGGAAUGAGUACAAUUUAAAUCUCUUAACGAGGAACAAUUGGAGGGCAAGUCUGGUGCCAGCAGCCGCGGUAAUUCCAGCUCCAAUAGCGUAUAUUAAAGUUGUUGCAGUUAAAAAGCUCGUAGUUGAAUUUCGGGAUUUAUCCGUCGGUCGGGCUUUUGGGUCUGUACUGGCGUGAUGGAUUCCUACCUUCUGAAUAACCGGCAUGUCAUUAAUUUGGUGCGCCGGGGAAGCAGGACUGUUACCUUGAAAAAAUUAGAGUGCUUAAAGCAGGCUUAUGCCUGAAUACAUCAGCAUGGAAUAAUGAAAUAGGACGGCAUGGUUCUAUUUUGUUGGUUUCUAGGAUCACCGUAAUGAUUAAUAGGGAUAGUUGGGGGCAUUAGUAUUCAAUUGUCAGAGGUGAAAUUCUUGGAUUUAUUGAAGACUAACUUCUGCGAAAGCAUUUGCCAAGGAUGUUUUCAUUAAUCAAGAACGAAAGUUAGGGGAUCGAAGACGAUCAGAUACCGUCGUAGUCUUAACCAUAAACUAUGCCGACUAGGGAUCGGAUGAUGUUAAUUUUUUAAUGACUCGUUCGGCGCCUUACGGGAAACCAAAGUGUUUGGG
rnacentral:rRNA from 1 species